AUUUCCGAAUGCUUUUCUUUGUCUAAUUGAAGUGGGCUCCUUUGUUUGGAGUCAUCUCUCCCAGCUCCUGGAGACAGAUGAUCCACUGAAGGAGAACCUUCGAGAUUCUCUUCCUGAUGACAUCCUUAGCAAAGAUUUUGACUGGGAGGCAUGGAAAUACUCCUCAUAUUCGGAUGUCACAUUCCACACAGCUGGUGCAGGUGCAAAUAUGGAAGGAUCAGUAGUCUUUUCUCCUGCAUCUUUUCUACCACGAUCAGUCAUGACAAACUUUACUGUUCACCUUAUGGGGCAGGCUAUCAAUCUACUGGAGGUUGGUGUACGGUUAGAGAAUGCAGAAGUUCUCAUGCAGAAGAUUUUUGGGCGAAAGUCUGCUACUUUCAGUGACAAUUUUUUUGCAAACACUGAUGAAAGAAAGCGCAAGUCAGAAAACCCAGUGAAGACGGUAGGAAAGGUCAAGCAGAGGAAGUUCACUUCCAAGCGGUACAGCCGUGGUGAUCGUCUUGUGACCAAAGCUGGCAAGGCAAAGUUGGGAAGAGCUAACCAGAAUUGUCCCGCUAGAAAGUAUAAUAAGAUGAGUGAGUUAGUGAAGAAGGUAACUGAUUCUGUAGAUCUUGGAAAAAUUCAUGACAUUUCCCAGUUAACCUUAGGACUCCAUCUAGCAUUGCUUAUUGUUUUGUG
rnacentral:lncRNA from 1 species